UAAUACGUAGGGGGCAAGCGUUGUCCGGAAUCAUUGGGCGUAAAGAGCGCGUAGGCGGCCAGAUAAGUCCGGUGUGAAAGUCACAGGCUCAACCUGUGAAUGCCGCAGGAAACUGUCUGGCUUGAGUCCGGAAGGGGCGAGUGGAAUUCCUGGUGUAGCGGUGAAAUGCGCAGAUAUCAGGAGGAACACCAAUGGCGAAGGCAGCUCGCUGGAACGGUACUGACGCUGAGGCGCGAAAGCGUGGGGAGCGAACAGGAUUAGAUACCCUGGUAGUCCACGCUGUAAACGAUGGGCACUAGGUGUGGGGGGUGUCGACUCCCUCCGUGCCGUAGCUAACGCACUAAGUGCCCCGCCUGGGGAGUACGGCCGCAAGGCUA
rnacentral:rRNA from 1 species